UGGGGAAUCUUAGACAAUGGGCGCAAGCCUGAUCUAGCCAUGCCGCGUGAGCGAUGAAGGCCUUAGGGUUGUAAAGCUCUUUCAGGGGGGAAGAUAAUGACUGUACCCCCAGAAGAAGCCCCGGCUAACUCCGUGCCAGCAGCCGCGGUAAUACGGAGGGGGCUAGCGUUGUUCGGAAUUACUGGGCGUAAAGCGCACGUAGGCGGACUGGAAAGUUGGGGGUGAAAUCCCGGGGCUCAACCCCGGAACUGCCUUCAAAACUUCCGGUCUUGAGGUCGAGAGAGGUGAGUGGAAUUCCGGGUGUAGAGGUGAAAUUCGUAGAUAUUCGGAGGAACACCAGUGGCGAAGGCGGCUCACUGGCUCGAUACUGACGCUGAGGUGCGAAAGCGUGGGGAGCAAACA
rnacentral:rRNA from 1 species